GACGAACGCUGGCGGCGUGCCUAAUACAUGCAAGUCGAACGCAGUGGGGACGGGUGAGUAACCCGUGGCUAACCUCCCAUCAGAGGGGAUAACACUUGGAAACAGGUGCUAAACCGAUACUGAUGGAUGGACCCGCGGGGCAUUAGCUAGUUGGUGAGGGAACGGCUCACCAAGGCGACGAGGCAUAGCCGACCUGGGAGGGUGAUCGGCCACACUGGGACUGAGACACGGCCCAGACUCCUACGGGAGGCAGCAGUAGGGAAGCGUGGGCAAUGGGCGAAAGGCGGACCGGGCAACGCCGCGUGAGUGAAGAAGGUUUUCGGAUCGUAAAACUCUGUUGUGGGGGAAGCGGGAUCUAACCAGAAAGCCACGGCUAACUACGUGCCAGCAGCCGCGGUAAUAC
rnacentral:rRNA from 1 species